CCUACGGGUGGCAGCAGUGGGGAAUAUUGCGCAAUGGGCGAAAGCCUGACGCAGCGACGCCGCGUGCGGGAUGAAGGUCUUCGGAUCGUAAACCUCUGUCAGCAGGGAAGAACGGUCACUGUGCUAAUCAGCAGUGAAUUGACGGUACCUGCAAAGGAAGCACCGGCUAACUCCGUGCCAGCAGCCGCGGUAAUACGGAGGGUGCGAGCGUUAAUCGGAAUUACUGGGCGUAAAGCGCUCGUAGGCGGUAUGUUAAGUCAGGGGUGAAAUCCCCGGGCUCAACGUGGGAACUGCCUUUGAUACUGGUCAGCUAGAGAGUGUGAGAGGAGGGUGGAAUGCCAGGUGUAGGGGUGAAAUCCGUAGAGAUCUGGAGGAACAUCGGUGGCGAAGGCGGCUAUCUGGCACAUAACUGACGCUGAGGAGCGAAAGCGUGGGGAGCAAACAGGAUUAGAUACCCCAGUAGUC
rnacentral:rRNA from 1 species